rnacentral:rRNA from 1 species
AACCUUUAGCCAAACAAGUAUUAAAGGCAACGCCUGCCCAGUGAAAAUUAAACGGCCGCGGUACCCUAACCGUGCAAAGGUAGCAUAAUCAUUUGUCUAUUAAUUGUAGACCUGUAUGAAAGGCAAAAUGAGAGCCCAACUGUCUCCUAUAACAAAUCAAUUAAACUGAUCUCCUAGUACAAAAGCUAGAAUACCAACAUAAGACCAGAAGACCCUGUGAAGCUUUAACUAACCUAUUAAGCCUAAUAAUAGCUACUUUCGGUUGGGGCGACCUUGGAAUAAAAAAGAACUUCCAACACUAUGACUUAUCAUAAAACAAGGCAAACAGGCCAACAUUAGACCCAGUAUCACUGACAAUUGAAAUAAGUUACUCCAGGGAUAACAGCGCUAUCUUCUUUAAGAGCCCAUAUCAAAAAGAAGGUUUACGACCUCGAUGUUGGAUCAGGACAUCCUAGUAAUGCAACCGUUACUAAAGGUUCGUUUGUUCAACGAUUAAUAGUCCU